AUCUCAGUUCGGAUUGGAGGCUGAAACCCGCCUCCAUGAAGUUGGAUUCGCUAGUAAUCGCGCAUCAGCCAUGGCGCGGUGAAUACGUUCCCGGGCCUUGUACACACCGCCCGUCAAGCCAUGGAAGCCGGGAGUGCCUGAAGUGCGUGAGCGCAAGCAGCGCCCUAAGGUAAAACCGGUGACUGGGGCUAAGUCGUAACAAGGUAGC
rnacentral:rRNA from 1 species